CGACAGCUCCCAGGACAUCAGAGAACCUCUGUUCACAGAAAUGCAGCAGCACCACCAGAUAGAGGCCGCUGCUGAUGAACUCAUCAUAUUCUGACUGCAGAGCAAGAAAAACACCUCUCAGCACACUGCCCAGCUUUUUCACAACACUUCAGCUCUGCUAAAUGGAAGAAAUACAAUGUUCAGCUCAAGCAAAGCAGUGACGGUGCACUCUGGAGAAACAGUGUCUUCCGCACAUCAGAUACAUGUUCAAAAACCCGGGAACGAUGGCGUCUGUGUUGACUGCUGUUGACACAGAGGAUCAGCUGAUUUGCAAUGACCCUGGUGGGAGUGGUUUGCAAGAAGAUUGCUUUCAGGUGCUUCAUUAUCAUCAUGCACAUGGUUCGUCCACGUUUUCUCUCUUCCUAAUGAUUGCCAAGUCAAACAGCGUCUCCAUGUGGCCCAGAGUACCAUACAUGUGAUGCUUGAAACUUGCUUGAGACCAAAAUACAAAGUCAGGUCUGUGUAUAGAGCUUGAGUGGCUUGAGUCACAACCAGCCAGCAUUAUUAACAGCUUUUGAGGUGCCAGUGUGCCCUUUUAAAGUGCUGCAUGUGCCAUGUAUUUGUCGUCAUUCCCACUGCUGGUUUCUGUCAUUGAGCAUUUGAUAUUGGCUAAGGCUGCACAUCAGCCAGAGAAUCCAGCUGGAAAUAAAAGAUAGCAUUUGAGGUUUAAAGUCUGUAGAAUAGCUCAUGAAUAAAGUAGAUAUACAGUAAACAGUAAUGCAAGGGUGCAACAUUACACAGCAAUUGAGCUGUUAUUGUUGUUUUUUAAACUAUAACUCUCUCACACUGUGUACUCUUUGAGAAUACAGUUCCCCCAUUGAAAUGAUAAUUCAGGUAUCAUAAAGGUAGCAGUUCAGCAUGUGGUCUUUUUGAGUUUUGAUUUCCAAUCAUAUAAUAUAGAGGAUAAUACAGUGGAAAGCAACUAAGUACAUUUAUUCAAAUACUGUGCUUAAGUAUAGUUUUCAGACAUUUUAUUUAUAUUUGCACUUUUGUUUACAAUGUAUUUACAUUUAAUACUACUUUAUUCUCCUACUUGGCAACAUUUCAAAGACAAAGUAUUGUACUCCCGCUAUGUUUCUUUUACAACUACAUACAGUUACUUUGCAGAUUUACAUCCAAAAUACAUAAAGAUCAAAAUACAACAGCAAACAAAAUAUCAAUCAAAAUCAAUAAGCGACAUUAAAAUGCUGUUUAAAUAUCUGUGACACUAAAAAAAAUCCAAUAUAAUAAUAAUUAUAUAACAUUCAGAAAAGGGGUCAUUGUGCAGUUAUGAGUAAUGAGCAUGUUUACUUUUGACAUGAGGAAAGACAUGGGGAAAAAUAAUUAAAUCUGUGAUGUCUGUAAUUUACAACUGUGAAUUUAGUAGAUUUGAUGAGAACAGAGAGGGUGUAGCAAAUUAUACAAUUCAUGUGAUGAGGGAAUAUAUUAGGCUCCGUGAUCCAUGAAAAGAGACAGUAAUAAUUGUGCUUGCAUUACAUCUGUUUUUAUCUUCAUGAUCAUAUUGACAUUUGAAUUAAAAUGUUGAAUAAAUCCACUAAAAUAUCUCAA